GAUGAACGCUGGCGGCGUGCCUAAUACAUGCAAGUCGAGCGAACAGAUGAGGAGCUUGCUCCUCUGACGUUAGCGGCGGACGGGUGAGUCACACGUGGAUAACCUACCUAUAAGACUGGGAUAACUUCGGGACACCGGAGCUAAUCCCGGAUAAUAUAUUGAACCGCAUGGUUCAAUAGUGAAAGACGGUUUUGCUGUCACUUAUAGAUGGAUCCGCGCCGCAUUAGCUAGUUGGUAAGGUAACGGCUUACCAAGGCAACGAUGCGUAGCCGACCUGAGAGGGUGAUCGGCCACACUGGAACUGAGACACGGUCCAGACUCCUACGGGAGGCAGCAGUAGGGAAUCGUCCGCAAUGGGCGAAAGCCUGACGGAGCAACGCCGCGUGAGUGAUGAAGGUCCUCGGAUCGUAAAACUCUGUUAUUAGGGAAGAGCAAAUGUGUAAGUAACUAUGCACGUCUUGACGGUACCUAAUCAGAAAGCCACGGCUAACUACGUG
rnacentral:rRNA from 1 species